rnacentral:rRNA from 1 species
GACGAACGCUGGCGGCGUGCUUAACACAUGCAAGUCGAACGGAAAGGCCCUGCUUUUGUGGGGUGCUCGAGUGGCGAACGGGUGAGUAACACGUGAGUAACCUGCCCUUGACUUUGGGAUAACUUCAGGAAACUGGGGCUAAUACCGGAUAGGAGCUCCUGCUGCAUGGUGGGGUUUGGAAGGUUCGGCGGUUGGGGGUGGACUUGGGGCUUAUCAGCUUGUUGGUGGGGUAGUGGCUUACCAAGGCUUUGACGGGUAGCCGGCCUGAGAGGGUGACCGGCCACAUUGGGACUGAGAUACGGCCCAGACUCCUACGGGAGGCAGCAGUGGGGAAUAUUGCACAAUGGGCGGAAGCCUGAUGCAGCAACGCCGCGUGCGGGAUGACGGCCUUCGGGUUGUAAACCGCUUUCGCCUGUGACGAAGCGUGAGUGACGGUAAUGGGUAAAGAAGCACCGGCUAACUACGUG